rnacentral:rRNA from 1 species
GUCCUCCGCCUCGGUACAUCCAUCUCUAUUGGAUCCGGGGCCUCGACCCUGUUAUGGUUCGACCGCUGGCUUGGGGACUCCCCCUUGGCUGUGCGUUUCCCGGAACUAUUUGCCAUUGCGGCUGACCCUCGGGUCUCUGUCGAGACGGCCCUUAUUGACUUAGGGCGUCUCGCUUUCCAUCGCCCCUUCGGCCCACUCGAGGUGGCUGCUUGGGACUCCCUCCUCCAAGACGUGGCCCUUAUGCAGAUGAACAUUGAGGAGGACCAGGAUGCCAUCUCCUGGCACCUGGAGCCGUCUGGCUGCUUCUCCACGAAGUCCUUGUAUGCGGCCAUCGCGCCCUCGACGGCCCCGAAACCGUUUAGCCUGAUAUGGGACAUCCGCCUCCCUCUGAAGAUCAGGAUCUUUCUGUGGCAAUGGAUCCACGGACACCUCCCCUCUGGGGUCGAAGUCCUCAAGCGUAUCGGCCCGGGGCGAUGGGAUUUGUCCCAUCUGUGGCACGAUCGAAGAUGCUAA